UACGAAGGGUGCAAGCGUUACUCGGAAUUACUGGGCAUAAAGCGUGCGUAGGUGGUUUGUUAAGUCUGUUGUGAAAGCCCCGGGCUCAACCUGGGAAUGGCAAUGGAUACUGGCAGGCUAGAGUGCGGUAGAGGGUAGUGGAAUUCCCGGUGUAGCGGUGAAAUGCGUAGAGAUCGGGAGGAACACCAGUGGCGAAGGCGGCUACCUGGACCAGCACUGACACUGAGGCACGAAAGCGUGGGGAGCAAACAGG
rnacentral:rRNA from 1 species